rnacentral:lncRNA from 1 species
CAUGUUUUUGAUAGAAAUUGCACUACUAAAAAUUAUUCCUAUUACAAUGACCUUUUGGCAACGAUUUCAAAAGCGUUGCUAUAGAGUAUCUAUUGCAACGGUUCCAACCAUUGUAAAAAAAAAAAAUAUUUUAGUAGAAUUAUUUUAUAUUAUAAUCAUUACUGUUGAUGGAUAACCGUUGCAAUAGGAUCCCUUAUAGCAACGAUUGCUUGAACCGUUACUAUAAAAUCACCUAUGACAACACUUAAUUGAUAAAAAAAAACUAUUACAUCUGUUGUAAUUUAUUUCCUCCAAAUUUUUCACUGUAGCCACCAAAAAUUAAAGUAAUAUAUCAUAAAAUUUUUAAAAAUAUAAUGAAAAUUUCCCAUGUUUCGCUGAGACCAAUGUUGAAAAUUUCCCAUUGUCAAAUUACCCUCCGACCAAUGUACGCUCCGACCAGCACCACCAGCACUCCAAUCACACUCCAUAAGCAUUCCAACCACACACCACCAGCACGCUCCGACCACACACCAUCAGUACGCUCCGACCACAUAUCACCACCAAUCGAUCAAGUGCUCCGACCAUAAAAUCGAGCACCAAUGCAUGCUCCGACCACCAGUACUCCGACCAGAAAUCAGCUUCUCCACUGCUCCGACAACCACUUCCAUUUCAGCUCUCAAAUUUGCACUUCAAUUUCUGAGCAAAUUUGGGGUUUUCUUCUUCAAUUUGGUGAUUUUAAGGUUGGUGUAUUCUUCUAAUUGAUAAUUUUGCCCUAAUUCUUUGAGUUUCUAUUUUGAGGUUUUCUUCUCCUUCACUUUGAUUGAUUGCUGACCUAACGUUUGGGGAUGGGUUUAAAUUUCGACAUGCACUAAUAUUAAGAUGUGAAAGCCUUAGAAUUUUUGGUUUUGAUUUAACUGAUGUUGCAUUAUUUGUUGUAGAAUUAUAAUAGUGAUGUUUCCUGUAUGUUACAGAUUCCUAUAGAAUUGUUUGGUACAAAUUGUAGUCGCUCAUCAAGCCUGACAUGUCCGCUGCAGGGGAAUCCAACUGGAAAAGGUCCGACAUUUUUCAGUUUUUUGUGCCCCUAAUUAUUCUGGUGUAUUAUUAUAAGUAUAUGGAGAUUGUGUUGUGAGGAGCAUAAAGUCUGUUAAUGAUAUACUACAUUUUCCUUAUCUUGUGAUCGCGGAUGAGAACUUCUAAGAUGAGGAAAUGUUACAACUUUAUAAUUGGGUCUUCACUUGUUUCGGGAAGUGUCUUAAUGAAGGCAUACAGAGCAGCUCAUAUCCAAUUUGCCGGGUUUCUUUCACAAUUUUAAGGUUUCUUGCUUGAGAGGUAUUGCUACCUUUAGUUGGCAGGUGUAGUGUUUGAAUUGGAUCCCUUUCCUUUUUCUGUGUUUUGUGAUCAACAUCUUUCUUAUCUUCAACAUAGAAGUUUAAACGUUUUCUCUCUUUGAGUUCUUCUGGCUUAUCCUGAGUCCUGCUUCAAGUCCUUUGUCGGUACAUGCAUCUUAUGGCCUUGCGCACGCUCAGAUACAUGAUUUUAUUGAAUUAUUUGGUUUUGUAGUAAUACAUUGGAGAUAUAUAUUUUUAGUGAAUUAGCUUUUGGGUAGGUUUUUUCAGUUUAUAUGUUCAUAGGAACUAAAGGCUGUUUUUGCAUUUGGCUCUUGCUGACACUUUAUUUAUAGUGAUUUAAGUGGUUAGGCUCCAUGUCAUCUUAUUUCGAUGUGCUGUAAAUGACAUAAUACUGAGAAGUAUUCUCUGCCUUUCUGUUCGUAAUUCAUCUAUUUGGCUAUGGAGCUUCAAAUUGAUUUUUUCUGUGCAUUAUGGGAUGUAAGAUUAGUUAUUUGUGAACACUUCCUAUUAUUCAGUAGAGAACUAUAGUUCCAUGUGUGAGAUGAAAUGAGAAUAUGCGUAAGUUUUAGAAACUUUUUGAGGCUUCUUGAUUGGCAGAUCCUGCAGUGUUGGCUUUUGGUUCUUUUCUGAGGCUUUGUUGUGGAAUGAGGGGACAUUUAUCUGACCUCCUCUUGUAUUGUGGUUGUCCACUUGAUUCCCUGUCUUACCUUUUUCAUGUACCAAUAUCCUUUUGUUUCUAAGAUUAACGUCUUUAUUGACACACUAAUACUUAGCCUUUUCUUGGUUUCACUGUUUUUUUGGGUAGGUGCAACUGGGGGUACGCAGAAAAGUUGUUGUUGGUUGGUUGCACAAAUUAUACUGUGAUGUUCUUAGCUAUAAUAGAACAAUUAGUGCAUCUUUUUGGUGUUCGUGUCUGGGAAAGAUUAGAGCGUCUACACUUGCUAUAUUGUUGUUGCAGUAUAUGUGUGGUAUUAAGGUAGACUUUGAAACUUAUAUGCUCCUUCCAAAAGCUUGUGCAAUAAUCUAUGGAGAUUUGUAGUUCUUUGUUGUUAAAUAAAAUGUUAAGCAAAACUAUAUGAAAGUAAUACAUUUUACAAAUUUAUACAAUUAAUUUAGUAAGUAGUAGUAGUCUGGUAGAGUUGUAUCUUAUUCUUCAAUUUCAUUGCUACGUACUAUAAAUUGCAAACUUUUGCAUUCAAUUUAGUUUGUAGUUACUUAGUGUCUUAUUUUUCAAUUUCAUUGCUACCUGCUAAUUCAUUUUCUCUGUGUAUCUUGCUAUUUUGUUAUUGUUUUCUUUUCUUUCAAUCUUGCUUUGAUAAGUCUUUUGAACUGGGGGCCCGUGUCAGAAACAGCUUAGCACCCCUACCAAGGUAGAGUAUGUCCGUACAUCUUUUACCCUAUUCGGACUCGACUUGUGGGAUUACGUUGGGUAUGUUGUUGAACAGUAUAAAAUUAAUGUUUGAGAUAAUUUAAGUCUAAGAAAAACUUAUUUGAGUCUUUUGGAAUGGAGGGAGUAUUUGAUUUUGUUUGUUUUUAAAGAAGAGGAAUUAAAUUGAAGUGAUCCUGCUGGGUUGAAUUUUGCCUUACCAUUCACCUUUAUGGUUUAGGGAACUUUUGUUUUGAAUUAUUGGCUUGCUGAUUGUGAACUUUGAAUUACUUGCAGUGCUUUGCAAACAAAAGCAGAUUACCCUAGUCUAGAAAGUGCUUUGGUUGAUUGUUUAGAAAGGGUUUUCAAAACAAGAUAUGGAGCAUCACUCAUUCCUCACUACAUGGUAUGGUAAUAGUGCUAGUACUAAAUAAGAUAAAUCAAAAUCUUUAUAUUGGAAUGAGUUUUAUGUUUGUUUUUUAUCACAAGUGUAUGAAGUAUGUGUCAGCUAUUUGGUUAUUUACAGAUCGGACCAUAUUUUUGCAGGGAAUGUGAAGCAUUAUAUUGAUAAAUUUUGCCUUUAGAGUUAAACAUGUUAGAAACGUUUGGGUUCUAUCUAGUAGAGAGCAAAGGAGAACUGCUUACUCACAAUGAGCGAGGAAGUUUUAGAAAAUUUAAUCAACAUGCAUUCUCAUGUUAUUAGUCUUUAUUUUUGGAAAUUACUGAAACUUUAGAGAAGGCGUCGAGUUGUGAGGUAAGUGCAAUUGUUAGACUUUUACUAAUGAUUGGUAUUUUAGAAAGGUUUCUUUCUUGCAUUGCUGUUUUUAGACAAGAUCUUGUUUUGGUCCAUUUAUUGUUGGUUGAGGGAGGACUCUGGUGAUUUUGGGUUGAAGUUGUGUACUUUUUUUCCCUGUUGAUUUACUGCUUUGGACUGUGAUGGUUGUCGUUGAGGUUUAGUGGCAAUAGUGUCUAUGUAUGUGAUACAUACAGUUGGCCAUUUCUUGUUUCUUUAAGCUUGGAAGGUUGACCAUUUUCUUGUAUUUUUGGGAGGGAGUUUGUUGUCAUUUGGUCUAUCAGAUUUUCUUGUGGUGUUACAAUGGGGCUAUUUAGGUUUUUGAUGCUUGUGCUUUGUUUUGGUUCUGCCAUGGGGCAGCAUCCUUCCCAGGACAUUUUGGCUUUGCUCGAGUUUAGGCAGGGUAUCAAGCAUUUUAUCCAAAUGAUUAUGUAUUGCAGUCAUGGAAUGAGGAAUCCAUUGAUUUCAAUGGGUUCCCGUCUUCUUGGAAUGGUUUAAUGUGUAAUGGUGGUGUAAUGUUGCUGCAGUUUUUCUUAACAACUUGGGUUUAUCUGCUGAUUCAGAUUUGACUCUUUUUGCUAACCUCACAAUGCUAGUGAAAAACUCUAUGGCUAACAAUUUAUGAAUUGCUGGUCAAAUUCCAAAGAAAAUUAGUGAUUUUAAGAGUCUUGAAUAUCUGGAUAUUUCAAACAAUGAAUUUCAUUAGUUGUAAAUCAAUGUCAAUUUUAUAAUUUUGUCCAUUAUUUUGCAAGUUUUGAUUUUUAAAUAUGUUGUCAUUUAAGUGCUAAUUGAAAUUAUUUAUUCUCUCUUUUUAUAGGUGUUCAAAGUGAAGAAGAGAUAAGAAAGAAGUGAUGAAGAAAUUGACUUUACCAGAGAAGAUUUUUGAAUUGUUGAUAUAUAGAUGUUUUAAUAUCCAUCUUUUUGAUAUUGAAUUUAGUGAAACUUAUCGCCACUCGAACUUGAUACUAAUAGGAAAACUAAUGAUCAUUUGACUUUAUACAUUUUGCUUUUGGGUUUAGAUUACUAGUUUGUGGCAUAAAAUUUUAAUUUGGAUUAUUAUAUUAAUGAAAUAUUUUGUUGUGAUGCAUGUGAAUAUAUAUAUAUAUAUAUAUAUAUAUAUAUAUAUAUAUAUAUAUAUAAUAUAUAUAUAUAUAUAUAUAUAGUCAUCAUUGCAAUAGGUGACAACAAUUGUUGCAAUAGGUAGCAAAAAAUUUUGCAACAGGUGUCAAAAAGCGUGG